rnacentral:misc_RNA from 1 species
AACGCACAUUGCGCCCUCUGGUAUUCCGGGGGGCAUGCCUGUUCGAGCGUCAUUACAACCCUCAAGCCAAGCUUGGUAUUGGGCCAUGGCUAAGUAAACAGCCGGCCUUAAAAUAAGUGGCAGCACUAAUCCAGCUCUAAGCGCAGUAAACAUUUUACGCUUUUGGGCCUGGCUUGGUUGCUUGCCAGGAACCACCAAAUUCAAAGGUUGACCUCGGAUCAGGUAGGGAUACCCGCUGAACUUAA